GGGAGUGGUUGUGUUCCGGUGGAUGCCCCAGUCUUCAACACUGGUGGUCGGCUGCGUGACAGGCGACGGUGGGUUCGACUCCCAUCCAUUCCCGA
rnacentral:tRNA from 1 species